rnacentral:rRNA from 1 species
ACGGGUGCGGAACACGUGUGCAACCUGCCUUUAUCUGGGGGAUAGCCUUUCGAAAGGAAGAUUAAUACCCCAUAAUAUAUUGGAUGGCAUCAUCUGGUAUUGAAAACUCCGGUGGAUAGAGAUGGGCACGCGCAAGAUUAGAUAGUUGGUGAGGUAACGGCUCACCAAGUCUACGAUCUUUAGGGGGCCUGAGAGGGUGAUCCCCCACACUGGUACUGAGACACGGACCAGACUCCUACGGGAGGCAGCAGUGAGGAAUAUUGGACAAUGGGUGAGAGCCUGAUCCAGCCAUCCCGCGUGAAGGACGACGGCCCUAUGGGUUGUAAACUUCUUUUGUAUAGGGAUAAACCUAGAUACGUGUAUCUAGCUGAAGGUACUAUACGAAUAAGCACCGGCUAACUCCGUGCCAGCAGCCGCGGUAAUACGGAGGGUGCAAGCGUUAUCCGGAUUUAUUGGGUUUAAAGGGUCCGUAGGCUGAUUUGUAAGUCAGUGGUGAAAUCUCACAGCUUAACUGUGAAACUGCCAUUGAUACUGCAAGUCUUGAGUGUUGUUGAAGUAGCUGGAAUAAGUAGUGUAGCGGUGAAAUGCAUAGAUAUUACUUAGAACACCAAUUGCGAAGGCAGGUUACUAAGCAACAACUGACGCUGAUGGACGAAAGCGUGGGGAGCGAACAGGAUUAGAUACCCUGGUAGUCCACGCCGUAAACGAUGCUAACUCGUUUUUGGGUUUUCGGAUUCAGAGACUAAGCGAAAGUGAUAAGUUAGCCACCUGGGGAGUACGAACGCAAGUUUGAAACUCAAAGGAAUUGACGGGGGCCCGCACAAGCGGUGGAUUAUGUGGUUUAAUUCGAUGAUACGCGAGGAACCUUACCAAGGCUUAAAUGGGAAAUGACAGGUUUAGAAAUAGACUUUUCUUCGGACAUUUUUCAAGGUGCUGCAUGGUUGUCGUCAGCUCGUGCCGUGAGGUGUUAGGUUAAGUCCUGCAACGAGCGCAACCCCUGUCACUAGUUGCCAUCAUUAAGUUGGGGACUCUAGUGAGACUGCCUACGCAAGUAGAGAGGAAGGUGGGGAUGACGUCAAAUCAUCACGGCCCUUACGCCUUGGGCCACACACGUAAUACAAUGGCCGGUACAGAGGGCAGCUACACAGUGAUGUGAUGCAAAUCUCGAAAGCCGGUCUCAGUUCGGAUUGGAGUCUGCAACUCGACUCUAUGAAGCUGGAAUCGCUAGUAAUCGCGCAUCAGCCAUGGCGCGGUGAAUACGUUCCCGGGCCUUGUACACACCGCCCGUCAAGCCAUGGAAGUCUGGGGUACCUGAAGUCGGUGACCGUAACAGGAGCUGCGUAGGUAAGCAUGCCG